AUCGCGGACUCGCCUACAGUCUUCAGUAAGCAAAUUGACUCAUCAAGAUGACUAAACUAACUCUCAUAAUUUUGUCUUUGGCGGUAGUGUUGUGCCUAAUAUCACUAUCAGGAGUAUCGUGUGAAUACGACGCUGAUGAAUCAGACGUUGAUCAGGAUGCUUUCCCCAAUGACAUGGAUUGGGAAGAUGGUGGCCAUUUUGAAAGCAAAAGACAUUUAAAACCACAAAAGAAGAAGAAUUCGUUUCAAUAAUUUGCACAUACAAACACAUUUCUAAUACAUAUCAAUUGUUGAUUGCUUAAUUUUGGUGAUAUACUAAUAAACGUGCUGCAAUUUCA